CAGCUUCUCCUGACUUCUCCUCCAGGACUCAAAUCCACUUCCAUUGCAGAAUCAUGUCUUCCUACAGACAGCUGUGCAACUACCAGAGCUUCAACCCAUGUGAGGUGGCCUGCCCGCAGCCCCUCGCCAGCGCCUGGAACGAGCCGUGCAUCACAUCAUGUGGUGACUCCAGGGCAGUGGUCUACCCACCCCCUGUUGUCAUCACUUUUCCUGGGCCAAUUCUCAGCUCCUGCCCUCAGGAAAGCAUAGUGGGAUCCUCAGCACCAGCUGGCAUUUGGAGCUCACUUGGCUAUGGCGAAUCUCAUGGCUACAGAGGUUCUCUGGUUUAUGGGGAAUCACAGGGGAGCAAAUUCUCAUACCCUUAUUGCUCUCAGAGGUUCAGAAGCUACCACUUUAGGAAGAGCGAGCCCUGCCAAACCCAGCAAGAAUAUACUUGCACCAAGAGCAGUCAGGAUAGUGAAUGCAAGAUCCAAACUCAAGCAUAAGAUGACGAAGAGAAGUUUCUAAGAUGCUGGCUUAAAGAGUCUGAAUCUUGUUAACAUUUUAUAUUUGUGCUCAUAUCUGCUUCUGUACUUCUUCCUCCUUCGUUAUAACCAUGCCCUUCUAUUCUUGUGGUCCAGAUUUUCAAAUGCAUUAAUAUUGCUUCUACAUUCAGUCCUAUAUUUUACUCUAAGCGUAAUCGAAGAGUUGUGAUACUCUCACCUGGCACUGCCUGAUGUUCAUCAGGAGCUAUGUUAAGGGAUGAAAACUGGACUACCCCAUCACACUUACAGCUACAGAAGAAGAAAAGAACACUGUGCUUGAAAUGAAGUUUCCUGAACAAGAAGCCUCAUUUGUUAGAGCCUCAUAUUCUCCAGUUUCUGUAUAAACAUUUUUUUUCCUAUUGUAAACCCUCCUGCUUUAUCUCCUAUUAAAAAGUCAUGCUGCAUUAUAA